rnacentral:lncRNA from 1 species
ACAACCCCAACGCUUUUGUAAGCUAUCGCCGCCGGAGUGACCGAUUGAGAACGAGCUGAGAAUGAAUCACAACGCUGGCUGGAGGGAGGUAGCUUGAAAGAUUGCGGCUAUGGGUGUUAGGAGACGGCUGACGAAUCCGCUUAACUGAGGUUUGUACGUUUUUGUUUUAUUUGAUUUGAACCGUACAAAUCAUUAACUAAUUCUGGUCUAAUUGAAAUCGAUAUAUAUAUAUAUAUAUAUAUCAGUUUACAACGUAGCUUAUACUUUGUACUUUUAUUCUAUUUAAUUAAUGCAGGUUAUAUUUAUUUCAUUGAUUAAAUUUUUGCAUAAUAUAUGACGGUAUAUGUUAGUACAUUACGUACAGGUUAGCUAUACUUUAGUUUUGCGUAUUUGUAUCA